rnacentral:misc_RNA from 1 species
UCUCCGUUGGUGAAUCAGCGGAGGGAUCAUUACCGAGUUUACAACUCCCAAACCCCUGUGAACAUACCAUUUGUUGCCUCGGCGGUGCCUGCUUCGGCAGCCCGCCAGAGGACCCAAACCCUUGAUUUUAUACAGUAUCUUCUGAGUAAAUGAUUAAAUAAAUCAAAACUUUCGACAACGGAUCUCUUGGUUCUGGCAUCGUGAAGAACGCAGC